GAUGAACGCUGGCGGCGUGCCUAAUACAUGCAAGUCGAGCGAACGGACGAGAAGCUUGCUUUUCUGAUGUUAGCGGCGGACGGGUGAGUAACACGUGGAUAACCUACCUAUAAGACUGGGAUAACUUCGGGAAACCGGAGCUAAUACCGGAUAAUAUUUUGAACCGCAUGGUUCAAAAGUGAAAGACGGUCUUGCUGUCACUUAUAGAUGGAUCCGCGCUGCAUUAGCUAGUUGGUAAGGUAACGGCUUAUCAAGGCAACGAUGCAUAGCCGACGUGAGAGGGUGAUCGGCCACACUGGAGCUGAGACGCGGUCCAGGCUCCUGCGGGAGGCAGCAGUAGGGAAUCGGCCGCAGUGGGGGAAAGCCUGACGGAGCGACGCCGCGUGAGAGAUGACGGCCUUCGGAGCGGAAAACUCUGUUAUUAGGGAAGAACAUAUGUGUAAGUAACUGUGCACAUCGUGACGGUAACUAAUCAGAAAGCCACGGCUAACUACGUG
rnacentral:rRNA from 1 species